rnacentral:rRNA from 1 species
UACGAAGGGGGCUAGCGUUGCUCGGAAUCACUGGGCGUAAAGCGCACGUAGGCGGCUUUUUAAGUCAGGGGUGAAAUCCUGGAGCUCAACUCCAGAACUGCCUUUGAUACUGGGAAGCUUGAGUCCGGAAGAGGUGAGUGGAACUCCGAGUGUAGAGGUGAAAUUCGUAGAUAUUCGGAAGAGCACCAGUGGCGAAGGCGGCUCACUGGUCCGGUACUGACGCUGAGGUGCGAAAGCGUGGGGAGCAAACAGG